UGCUAUGCCUACAUAUUGCCCUC
rnacentral:miRNA from 1 species